rnacentral:tRNA from 1 species
UCCUUGGUGGUGCAGUGGGUUAAGGACCCAGCGCUUUCACUACUGUGGUACAGGUUCAAUCCCUGGCCUAGGAA